rnacentral:lncRNA from 1 species
UUUGAUAUGCCUGCAUUUUGGAAAAAAAAAUUGAGGAUUUAGCCCAGUCGCUUUCCCUUGAUAUAGCCUUGUUCUGAAUUAAAAUGGAAAAAAUAUUUCAAUUAUUUUCAUCUUGUUCUCAACUGGAUGUUAGUCAAUGUGGUCUCUUUUUGAAUAUGUAUCAAAUAUUAAUGAUCCAUAAUAUUAGGGAGAUAAUUUUAAAUGAAGUGAUACGUGUCUAACUUACUUAAAGAAUAAGUUUUUGGUUUUUGCUUUUAAAGACAACCAAAUCUGAUAUUGUUCAUCCUGAUAAAAAUAACAACUUUUAGUGCUUAAAGCAUUAAUUAAGCAAGUGGCUAGGUAUGAUAAAGAACUUCUGCUUGCUCCCCAAGAGGCAAACUAUUAGAAGAACUGGAGCGGGAGUCCUUUGGACCCAUCGUGGAUCUCUUUAAGCCACUGCUACCCAAAAACAUUCAGGACAAGCAAACAUUUAGAGCAAGAAUCUCCAAAUUCUUCAGGAUUUGUAAUGAAAUGAUGUUCAGUUCCAUUUUGCUCUUUACAUAGGGUGGAGAAUUGUCAUGUCUUCUCUAAUUUUUCCAAGUAAAGUGGUAGCAAAAUGUUUUAAAAAGCAAUCUUAUAUUAGAAAACAAAAAUGUUGUCACUUGAAAUACCAAAACAACAUUUCUGAGCGUUGUUGAGGGACUGGCAAAGCAAUCAGCUACUAUAACAAAUCAGUAGAAAUAACCCUCCCACACCAGAUAUGCAUGCAGAAGGAAUGGAGUAUUAUAGAGACUUGAUACAAUGGACAUAUGCACAUGGAGGUACAAAACACACAGUCUAAAUACAAAUGAAUUCCAUCAGAUUUACUAUACGGAACAUCAGUAGUGACAGAUUGCACUUCUUACUUAAUAACAGCAAACUUAAUUUCUGAGGGGAAAAAAAUGGCGAAGUCUUAUCCCAAACAAAUAGCAAGAGAGGUAUCAUCAAAGAGCUAAAAUUUUCUUUGGCAUGGUAAAGGGGGAAAUUGAGUUUACCAACUUAUUUACAUGACAUUUCUCUAUAUUGGUGAGUAAUGCAAUGCCAUUUUGUUACAUAAAGUUGUUUGAUGUUUUUUAAUAUGCCUUCAUAUAAAUAUUUUAUUCAAUAUGUUGUAUUUGUGAAUUUAACAAAUGAUAUUAAACACAAACUACAAUGCAGACAGACAAACUCUUUGUAUGCAAAUUAGCAAUACAUACCAACAGUUCUUGAUACACAGGUACCUACUACAUGCAGCUCAUCAUUGCUGUCCUCUUCCCAUGCUACAGGUGAGACCAGACACAAAGUAAAUGACCUAACUCAAUUACAAAUAACAAGGACCCCUCUGCAAUAUGUCUAAACAUAUAUUAGAAGAAAGUAUUUGACAUCCUUCAUAGGGAUAAAUGCCCUUAUAGACACCCCAUAUAUAAAACACAACAGAGAUACACAUUUACAUAAAUCUCAGUCAUUUACAAAAAUAAAUCUUGUCUUAAUUUAAACCAAUAAACAGACUUGCAGGGGAAAAAGAAACCAGCAAGUAGGGCUAAUUAUCAGUAACAAAUAGAUGGGGGUGUUUGCUCUGUGUGUGUGUGUGUGUGUGUGUGUGUGUGUGUGUAUAUGUGUGUGUUUGUGUGAAGUGAAGUGUUGCUGCUGUAAGUAGUGUCCAUAAGCCCAUUUGACUGUAUUACAAGUUAGUUAAUUACUCAUAUAGUUGGCCACAUAUUAUGGGAUCUAUGUUUUCUGAAAAUAAUUGGUUAAUGGAAGUUAUCUAAUAUAUUUUAACUGUUCCUGUUAAAAACAAUAGGCUUCAAGAUGACAUAACACCAAAUCAAAAAUGACCAAAGGAAUCAUUUUGUUUGUUAGAUUUGUAAUUUAGCAUCAUUGGCAAUAAAUCUACUCAAACGUU